CACAAUUUAAGCAAGAGGACCAUCAACAUGUAGAGGAAAUUCCUUUUUCAGAAAAAUUGCAGUUUACACCUUGUAUUAUAAACAUACAAAACUCUUCCCUGACCAACUGUAUUAUUGGGAACAACAAUAGCCAAUGCAUUACCUGUGACCAGCAUUCUUUGCUCACUCAGAAUGAUGCAAACAGUGUGAAAAAACAGGCGGACAGUCAGAGCCAUGAUCAGCUGAUCCCAGUGCAGGAUACAAUAAGUGGCAGCAGCGUUCACAUGGAGAGAUCCAACAUAGAGUAUGUUAUUAUAGGUGACCGUAACAGUAUGAUAGUCACUGAGAACUCAGAGGUUGAGGAAGAUACAGAGAUUGAGCCUGAAGAGAUUAGUUAAAAUAUGUGAAAUAGUGGGCAGGAGGUCAGACCCACAGUUUUGGAGAGCUGCAGAUUGUCAACUCGCCUUAACAGGCCUGACCUAUGAUUGUACACUGGAAGCAUAAUAUAUGCUUUAAACUGACCAAUGCUCAGGUCUUCAGCAGGAGCUACCAAGCACACUGAAACAUUAUCCUUUAUCGUGGAUUUUCUAAACCUGUGUACAUUGGGGUGGCAAUGAUAUUUGAUACUGCUUUAAUUGCUACUGAACAUGACUACUACUGACGGUUUUAAUGGGUACACCAAUAUUUAUUUGCUUAACAGAAAUGUAUGAAAGUAAAUGUGUUAACUGACAUUGCAAUCAGUUGUUAUUCAGUCUUUAUAAGCUUUCUGUGAUUAUACAUAAAUGUUGUUUACACAGGCUUGUGUCUUUUCAGUAAUAUUUGUAUAUUUAACUUAACUUCUAUAUAUAACUUAAAUAUCUAUUGACAUUGUGAUGGAUAUUCUCCUGAUGUUUCAAUAGUUAUUCUGUAAUAACAGUGUAUUUCUGUGUUCUUUUUUUUGGGGGAAUUUCU
rnacentral:lncRNA from 1 species